AGCGAACGCUGGCGGCAGGCUUAACACAUGCAAGUCGAGCGGGCACUUUCGGGUGUCAGCGGCGGACGGGUGAGUAACGCGUGGGAACGUGCCCUCUGGUUCGGAAUAACUCAGGGAAACUUGAGCUAAUACCGGAUACGCCCUUUUGGGGAAAGGCUUGCUGCCGGAGGAUCGGCCCGCGUCUGAUUAGCUAGUUGGUGAGGUAACGGCUCACCAAGGCGACGAUCAGUAGCUGGUCUGAGAGGAUGAUCAGCCACACUGGGACUGAGACACGGCCCAGACUCCUACGGGAGGCAGCAGUGGGGAAUAUUGGACAAUGGGCGCAAGCCUGAUCCAGCCAUGCCGCGUGAGUGAUGAAGGCCUUUGGGUUGUAAAGCUCUUUUAUCCGGGACGAUAAUGACGGUACCGGAGGAAUAAGCCCCGGCUAACUUCGUG
rnacentral:rRNA from 1 species